ACUCCUACGGGAGGCAGCAGUGGGGAAUAUUGCACAAUGGGCGCAAGCCUGAUGCAGCCAUGCCGCGUGUGUGAAGAAGGCCUUCGGGUUGUAAAGCACUUUCAGUCGUGAGGAAGGUAGUGUAGUUAAUAGCUGCAUUAUUUGUACGUUAGCGACAGAAGAAGCACCGGCUAACUCCGUGCCAGCAGCCGCGGUAAUACGGAGGGUGCGAGCGUUAAUCGGAAUUACGUGGGCGUAAAGCGCAUGCAGGUGGUUUGUUAAGUCAGAUGUGAAAGCCCGGGGCUCAACCUCGGAAUAGCAUUUAGAAACUGGCAGACUAGAGUACUGGUAGAGGGGGUUAGAAUUUCGAGGUGUAGCGG
rnacentral:rRNA from 1 species